AUAGCCUUCCCUAACAACACACAACAUUCCAGGAAUGUACUACCAAAGUUCUAUCAAUAUUUGAAUGUCCUGGACAUUUAGGGAACAUUCGGUGAACAUCUGUUUAAAUUAUUCCUGGAAUGUUACCAUAAGACAUUCUGUGAACAUACUACCAAUGUUCCUAUAUUUUAAGUUGCGAAAUAAUACAUACGUGUAACAGAUUCAGAUACAACAUUACUUAUAACAUACCAGACAAACUAAGUGACAUUUUAGGCCUACAGUGUCAAAUUUAAAGAGUUUCCCAAGUUCAAUUAAUACAAUAUUAUAAACAUACAAAUGUAAUAAAAAUUAUUGUUCGCGAAUAUUCAAUUUGGAAUGCGAUUUUGUUAAUAAAAAAAUACUUAUAACUUAUGCAAAACCCAAGAGAGGCAUUAUUUAUAUUUAUUUCUUUUGCGUUCAUUUUCAAAUUCGCCGUGCAUAUAUUUUUGUGCAUGGCGCUUGAGAGGGCAUCACGUGACUAAAAACGACCAACCAACGACCUCGCUUCGGCCAUCUUGGCAUCUUCAUUUUCAUUUCAUCUUGUCCACCUUGCCCGGCCUUGCCUUGCCGUGGAUAGUUGUAUUAUUUGUGCUUUUUAAGAAUAUUUUUUUAAUUCGGAUACUUUUAUAAUAGCUUUAAUAGUAUUAUUAACAUAGUGCAUAAAAUGGUGUCCUGUUUUUGACGCAGUUGGAGUAGCAGAAACAAAUGUAGAUAAAAAAAUCUGCAGGAAUAACGUUUCAAUUAUGACAGAAGCUGAAACAAAUGACUGUGAAUUAGUGUGAAUGAAAAGCCCUAUUAAAAGCUUUCCAGAAGAUCCUGCGAAGAAGACAUGAAGUAUAGAUCAGAUUUGUUAAUAGAGGAGUAUGUUCAAAACACUUUUUAGAAAAAGAUAUUGACAGAACUUCACUUUCAUCUGUUCGUUUGAGAGACUGUGCUGUUCCAAUAGCUUAUGUCACACAGAAUCAGCUGAGAGAAGUGGUCUACAAAAAACCAGAAAGGAAACGGAAUAUGUGGCUACGAAAAGCAAAAGAAAGGUUUACAAAGCAAAUGUGACACAUUUUUUUAUAAUAUUUAGGAAUGUCAGUAAAUUACAUUAAAAAAUGUAUGUAAAGAUUUUUUGCAAUAAAAAUGUUUAUAUUUAUCAAGGAUGUAUUAUUUGGUAUGGCCACAUAUCGUCAGUGAUGUGACAAUACCUCCUAUCUGUUUUUUUCAAGAGAUUUGUAAGAUAGACUAAAAACUUGUUUCGGCCACCUCCUGUUUUCAUAUAUUUUUUGACUUGUUUUGCAGUAAAUUCAACUAUCUAUUUACUACAAAAAAAGUCAGAAUACGUACGAAAACAGAAAGUGACCUUAAAAAAUGUUUUUCGUCUCCUGCAAACCUCAUGAAAAAACAUAUAGGAGGUAUUGUCACAUUACUGACGAUAUAUUUCAGUGAAUGUCUAAAAAAUAUACUGUGAAUGUUCAAAGAACGUUCGUAGACAUUCAUGGAAUGUUCUAACAA